UACGAAGGGGGCUAGCGUUGCUCGGAAUCACUGGGCGUAAAGGGUGCGUAGGCGGGUCUUUAAGUCAGGGGUGAAAUCCUGGAGCUCAACUCCAGAACUGCCUUUGAUACUGAGGAUCUUGAGUUCGGGAGAGGUGAGUGGAACUGCGAGUGUAGAGGUGAAAUCGUAGAUAUUCGCAAGAACACCAGUGGCGAAGGCGGCUCACUGGCCCGAUACUGACGCUGAGGCACGAAAGCGUGGGGGAGCAAACAGG
rnacentral:rRNA from 1 species